GUGCUGGCUGCGGCAGCACAUAUACUAAAAGUGAAAUGAUACAGAGAAGAUUAGCAUGGCCCCUGCGCAAGGACGAUAAGCAAAUUUGUGAAGCGUUCCAUAAAAAA
rnacentral:snRNA from 1 species